GCACCAUGUAAUUUUGCAGGAUGUAUGGGCGUCGGCCGAAAUUGUAGGUCUCGCGAAUUUUGGCACCACUGAGCAUGUUCUUUCUGUCUGUGAUCUCGUUAAAGAAAAGUAGUGCGCGUCUUGUGUCGUUAAAAGUACAAAAACAAAAACACAUUAAAAGUACAAUGAUUAGUACAGUGUAAAUUAAAAUGCGGAAAAAUAGUACGCCAAAAAAAUCGUUAAAAGAACAACACAUUGUGAACGUUAAGCAGAACAAAACACAUUUAAAAGAAAAGGUCCAAGAGGGCCUUUUCUUGUUCGCAUGCUUUUUCUCCAGUAACAUCGUCCAGCU